CAAAAGAGACGCAGGGCCAGAUCCUGAGAGUGUCCUUUCAUGUAGCUGCUGAGCUUCUUCCAACUCCAACUUAGGCACCUAAUGGGCCCCGUGGGCACAUGCGCACUGGCUGCCAAAAACAAUAAGGUAUCAUCCUUGGAACAACUGAAAUGGUUUUACCUGUCCAGCCAUGCUAGGAGACUUUUUGCUGCUCCAAUCAAAUCCACCACUGAGGACUGUUUGCCUGGCACCUUGGAUGCCUAGAAAAUUCUCAACUCUUGGAGAAUGCAAGGGGAGGGAGGGCCAUAUAGAUUGCAAUGCCAGAAGAUGGCCCUGAGAAACUUUUCUUAUCUCUUUCUCAGAGAGGCCAGUACAAUAACAUCUUAACACUUGCAGAUUGGCGGAAUCCACAUCGGACUGUUCAGAGGGGUUCCUACUUUCCUUUAUCCUAAUUGUAUGCUCUGAUGAACCUCAGAACCUGCUUUGAAUCUGUCCUGCUUUCACCCCUUUUCAAUAAAAGGUUCCUUUUGAA